rnacentral:rRNA from 1 species
AGGACGAACGCUGGCGGCGUGCCUAACACAUGCAAGUCGAACGGAACCAGCAAUGGUUCAGUGGCGGACGGGUGCGUAACACGUGAGGAACAUGUCUUUCGGUGGGGGAUAGCCGGCCUAACGGCCGGGUAAUACCGCAUACGCUGCUCGGAGCUCCUGCUCUGAGUCGGAAAGCAGCAAUGCGCCGAUCGAGUGCCUCGCGGCCUAUCAGCUAGUUGGUGAGGUAAUGGCUCACCAAGGCGACGAACGGGGUAGCCGUCGGUC